rnacentral:rRNA from 1 species
UACGGAGGAUCCAAGCGUUAUCCGGAUUUAUUGGGUUUAAAGGGUGUGUAGGCGGGUAUUUAAGUCAGUGGUGAAAUCUCCGGGCUCAACCCGGAAACUGCCAUUGAUACUAUUUAUCUUGAAUAUCGUUGAGGUUGGCGGAAUAUAUCAUGUAGCGGUGAAAUGCAUAGAUAUGAUAUAGAACACCGAUUGCGAAGGCAGCUAACUAAGCGAUGAUUGACGCUGAGGCACGAAAGCGUGGGGAUCAAACAGG